GCAACGCGAAGACCUUACCUACUCUUGACAUCCAGAGAACUUUCCAGAGAUGGAUUGGUGCCUUCGGGAACUCUGAGACAGGUGCUGCAUGGCUGUCGUCAGCUCGUGUUGUGAAAUGUUGGGUUAAGUCCCGCAACGAGCGCAACCCUUAUCCUUUGUUGCCAGCGGUUAGGCCGGGAACUCAAAGGAGACUGCCAGUGAUAAACUGGAGGAAGGUGGGGAUGACGUCAAGUCAUCAUGGCCCUUACGAGUAGGGCUACACACGUGCUACAAUGGCGCAUACAAAGAGAAGCGACCUCGCGAGAGCAAGCGGACCUCAUAAAGUGCGUCGUAGUCCGGAUUGGAGUCUGCAACUCGACUCCAUGAAGUCGGAAUCGCUAGUAAUCGUAGAUCAGAAUGCUACGGUGAAUACGUUCCCGGGCCUUGUACACACCGCCCGUCACACCAUGGGAGUGGGUUGCAAAAGAAGUAGGUAGCUUAACCUUCGGGAGGGCGCUUACCACUUUGUGAUUCAUGACUGGGGUGAAGUCGUAACAAGGUAGCC
rnacentral:rRNA from 2 species